rnacentral:rRNA from 1 species
CAUGCAAGUCGAACGAUGAAGCCCAGCUUGCUGGGUGGAUUAGUGGCGAACGGGUGAGUAACACGUGGGUGAUCUGCCCUGCACUCUGGGAUAAGCCUGGGAAACUGGGUCUAAUACCGGAUAUGACCUCUUGCUGCAUGGUGAGGGGUGGAAAGUUUUUCGGUGCAGGAUGAGCCCGCGGCCUAUCAGCUUGUUGGUGGGGUAAUGGCCUACCAAGGCGACGACGGGUAGCCGGCCUGAGAGGGCGACCGGCCACACUGGGACUGAGACACGGCCCAGACUCCUACGGGAGGCAGCAGUGGGGAAUAUUGCACAAUGGGCGAAAGCCUGAUGCAGCGACGCCGCGUGAGGGAUGACGGCCUUCGGGUUGUAAACCUCUUUCAGCAGGGACGAAGCGAAAGUGACGGUACCUGCAGAAGAAGCACCGGCCAACUACGUGCCAGCAGCCGCGGUAAUACGUAGGGUGCGAGCGUUGUCCGGAAUUACUGGGCGUAAAGAGCUCGUAGGCGGUUUGUCGCGUCGUCUGUGAAAUCCCGCAGCUCAACUGCGGGCUUGCAGGCGAUACGGC